GUGCUUGCUUGGGCAGCACAUAUACUAAAAUUGGAAUAAGAAGAUUAGCAUGGCCCCUGCACAAGGAUGACACGCAAAUCUGUACAGUGUUCCAUAGUUGU
rnacentral:snRNA from 1 species